GGGGGCGUGGCGGAAUGGUAGACGCUACGGACUUAAAAUCCGUUGACUGCAAGGUUGUAAGGGUUCAAGUCCCUUCGCCCCCA
rnacentral:tRNA from 1 species